GUGGGGAAUCUUAGACAAUGGGCGCAAGCCUGAUCUAGCCAUGCCGCGUGAGCGAUGAAGGCCUUAGGGUUGUAAAGCUCUUUCAGGGGGGAAGAUAAUGACGGUACCCCCAGAAGAAGCCCCGGCUAACUCCGUGCCAGCAGCCGCGGUAAUACGGAGGGGGCUAGCGUUGUUCGGAAUUACUGGGCGUAAAGCGCACGUAGGCGGACCAGAAAGUCAGGGGUGAAAUCCCGGGGCUCAACCCCGGAACUGCCUUUGAAACUCCUGGUCUUGAGGUCGAGAGAGGUGAGUGGAAUUCCGAGUGUAGAGGUGAAAUUCGUAGAUAUUCGGAGGAACACCAGUGGCGAAGGCGGCUCACUGGCUCGAUACUGACGCUGAGGUGCGAAAGCGUGGGGAGCAAACAGGAUUAGAAACCCCUGUGUCC
rnacentral:rRNA from 1 species